GGAUGUGAGGGUGAUCUGCCAGGGUUGAUUCUGCUGAUCUGGCUGGCUAGGCUAAUAUCUCCUUCCUCCCUCACCGCUACACGCGCGUCCCUCCCAAAGCCGUGCGCUCAGUCGAAGAGGACAACCUUCCCCAAAUAAAGGAGGACCGGUCUUCGGUCAAAGGUAUUUGAGUAGCUGCACCCCCCUGCUAGAACAAGCUCUCAAGAAGAUAGGUUUCUGUCCUUCUGAAUCUUCUUCAGUGAACGUGCAUUCCACAAUUUAAAAAGAGCUUCUUAGUGAAGAGUUUCAAACCAGCCAGAAAACAUACGAGGAGUUGUCCUCU
rnacentral:snRNA from 1 species